rnacentral:rRNA from 1 species
UGGGGAAUUUUGGACAAUGGGCGAAAGCCUGAUCCAGCCAUGCCGCGUGCAGGAUGAAGGCCUUCGGGUUGUAAACUGCUUUUGUACGGAACGAAAAGACUCUGGUUAAUACCUGGGGUCCAUGACGGUACCGUAAGAAUAAGCACCGGCUAACUACGUGCCAGCAGCCGCGGUAAUACGUAGGGUGCAAGCGUUAAUCGGAAUUACUGGGCGUAAAGCGUGCGCAGGCGGUUAUAUAAGACAGAUGUGAAAUCCCCGGGCUCAACCUGGGAACUGCAUUUGUGACUGUAUAGCUAGAGUACGGCAGAGGGGGAUGGAAUUCCGCGUGUAGCAGUGAAAUGCGUAGAUAUGCGGAGGAACACCGAUGGCGAAGGCAAUCCCCUGGCCUAUACUGACGCUCGUGCACGAAAGCGUGGGGAGCAAACAGGAUUAGAUACCCCGGUAGUCCACGCCCUAAACGAUGUCAACUGGGUUGUUGGGUCUUCACUGACUCAGUAACGAAGCUAACGCGUGAAGUUGACCGCCUGGGGAGUACGGCCGCAAGGUUGAAAACUUAAAGGAAUUGACGGGGUCAUAGCUGUUUCCU